CCUGUUUGUUCAGUGUUCCUGUCCAAAUACACAAACAAAAGAUGUAUACUUUUGACACACUUCAAAUGUCAAUGCUUUAGUCUUUCCAGUGUUUAAGAUAUGCGCACAGUUUAACCACAUCAUUGCAAGUAUUGGUAACUUUUUGCUAAUUAGCAGACAUACAGACAUAGGUCUUACCAGGACCCUGUUUUCAUCAUUUCAUCAUGUC